GACGAACGCUGGCGGCGUGCUUAACACAUGCAAGUCGAACGGAAAGGCCUUUUCGGAGGUACUCGAGUGGCGAACGGGUGAGUAACACGUGGGUGAUCUUCCCUGCACUCUGGGAUAAGCCUGGGAAACUGGGUCUAAUACCGGAUAGGACCGCACUUUAGUGUGUGUGGUGGAAAGUUUUUUCGGUGUAGGAUGCGCCCGCGGCCUAUCAGCUUGUUGGUGGGGUAAUGGCCUACCAAGGCGGCGACGGGUAGCCGGACUGAGAGGUUGGUCGGCCACAUUGGGACUGAGAGACGGCCCAGACUCCUACGGGAGGAAGCAGUGGGGAAGAUUGCACAAUGGGCGCAAGCCUGAUGCAGCGACGCCGCGUGGGGGAUGACGGCCUUCGGGUUGUAAACUCCUUUCGCCAGGGACGAAGCGUUUUGUGACGGUACCUGGAGAAGAAGCACCGGCUAACUACGUG
rnacentral:rRNA from 1 species